rnacentral:rRNA from 1 species
UUGCCAGCAUUCAGUUGGGCACUCUAAGGUGACUGCCGGCUAAAAGUCGGAGGAAAGUGGGGAUGACGUCAAAUCAUCAUGCCCCUUAUGACCUGGGCUACACACGUGCUACAAUGGGCGGUACAAAGGGUCGCGAACCCGCAGGGGGAGCCAAUCCCAAAAAGCCGCUCUCAGUUCGGAUUGCAGGCUGCAACUCGCCUGCAUGAAGCCGGAAUCGCUAGUAAUCGCAGGUCAGCAUACUGCGGUGAAUACGUUCCCGGGCCUU